CAGGCUUAACACAUGCAAGUCGAGGGGCAUCAGGAAGAAAGCUUGCUUUCUUUGCUGGCGACCGGCGCACGGGUGAGUAACACGUAUCCAACCUGCCCUUUACUCGGGGAUAGCCUUUCGAAAGAAAGAUUAAUACCCGAUAGUAUAAUGAUUCCGCAUGGUUUCAUUAUUAAAGGAUUCCGGUAAAGGAUGGGGAUGCGUUCCAUUAGGUUGUUGGUGAGGUAACGGCCCACCAAGCCUUCGAUGGAUAGGGGUUCUGAGAGGAAGGUCCCCCACAUUGGAACUGAGACACGGUCCAAACUCCUACGGGAGGCAGCAGUGAGGAAUAUUGGUCAAUGGGCGCUAGCCUGAACCAGCCAAGUAGCGUGAAGGAUGAAGGCUCUAUGGGUCGUAAACUUCUUUUAUAUAAGAAUAAAGUGCAGUAUGUAUACUGUUUUGUAUGUAUUAUAUGAAUAAGGAUCGGCUAACUCCGUGCCAGCAGCCGCGGUAAUACGGAGGAUCCGAGCGUUAUCCGGAUUUAUUGGGUUUAAAGGGAGCGUAGGUGGACUGGUAAGUCAGUUGUGAAAGUUUGCGGCUCAACCGUAAAAUUGCAGUUGAUACUGUCAGUCUUGAGUACAGUAGAGGUGGGCGGAAUUCGUGGUGUAGCGGUGAAAUGCUUAGAUAUCACGAAGAACUCCGAUUGCGAAGGCAGCUCACUGGACUGCAACUGACACUGAUGCUCGAAAGUGUGGGUAUCAAACAGGAUUAGAUACCCUGGUAGUCCACACAGUAAACGAUGAAUACUCGCUGUUUGCGAUAUACAGUAAGCGGCCAAGCGAAAGCAUUAAGUAUUCCACCUGGGGAGUACGCCGGCAACGGUGAAACUCAAAGGAAUUGACGGGGGCCCGCACAAGCGGAGGAACAUGUGGUUUAAUUCGAUGAUACGCGAGGAACCUUACCCGGGCUUAAAUUGCAGUGGAAUGAUGUGGAAACAUGUCAGUGAGCAAUCACCGCUGUGAAGGUGCUGCAUGGUUGUCGUCAGCUCGUGCCGUGAGGUGUCGGCUUAAGUGCCAUAACGAGCGCAACCCUUAUCUUUAGUUACUAACAGGUUAUGCUGAGGACUCUAGAGAGACUGCCGUCGUAAGAUGUGAGGAAGGUGGGGAUGACGUCAAAUCAGCACGGCCCUUACGUCCGGGGCUACACACGUGUUACAAUGGGGGGUACAGAAGGCAGCUAGCGGGUGACCGUAUGCUAAUCCCAAAAGCCUCUCUCAGUUCGGAUCGAAGUCUGCAACCCGACUUCGUGAAGCUGGAUUCGCUAGUAAUCGCGCAUCAGCCACGGCGCGGUGAAUACGUUCCCGGGCCUUGUACACACCGCCCGUCAAGCCAUGGGAGCCGGGGGUACCUGAAGUACGUAACCGCAAGGAUCGUCCUAGGGUAAAACUGGUGACUGGGGCUAAGUCAUAACA
rnacentral:rRNA from 1 species